rnacentral:rRNA from 1 species
GACGAACGCUGGCGGCGUGCCUAAUACAUGCAAGUCGAACGAACUCUGGUAUUGAUUGGUGCUUGCAUCAUGAUUUACAUUUGAGUGAGUGGCGAACUGGUGAGUAACACGUGGGAAACCUGCCCAGAAGCGGGGGAUAACACCUGGAAACAGAUGCUAAUACCACAUAACAACUUGGACCGCAUGGUCCGAGUUUGAAAGAUGGCUUCGGCUAUCACUUUUGGAUGGUCCCGCGGCGUAUUAGCUAGAUGGUGAGGUAACGGCUCACCAUGGCAAUGAUACGUAGCCGACCUGAGAGGGUAACCGGCCACAUUGGGACUGAGACACGGCCCAAACUCCUACGGGAGGCAGCAGUAGGGAAUCUUCCACAAUGGACGAAAGUCUGAUGGAGCAACGCCGCGUGAGUGAAGAAGGGUUUCGGCUCGUAAAACUCUGUUGUUAAAGAAGAACAUAUCUGAGAGUAACUGUUCAGGUAUUGACGGUAUUUAACCAGAAAGCCACGGCUAACUACGUGCCAGCAGCCGCGGUAAUACGUAGGUGGCAAGCGUUGUCCGGAUUUAUUGGGCGUAAAGCGAGCGCAGGCGGUUUUUUAAGUCUGAUGUGAAAGCCUUCGGCUCAACCGAAGAAGUGCAUCGGAAACUGGGAAACUUGAGUGCAGAAGAGGACAGUGGAACUCCAUGUGUAGCGGUGAAAUGCGUAGAUAUAUGGAAGAACACCAGUGGCGAAGGCGGCUGUCUGGUCUGUAACUGACGCUGAGGCUCGAAAGUAUGGGUAGCAAACAGGAUUAGAUACCCUGGUAGUCCAUACCGUAAACGAUGAAUGCUAAGUGUUGGAGGGUUUCCGCCCUUCAGUGCUGCAGCUAACGCAUUAAGCAUUCCGCCUGGGGAGUACGGCCGCAAGGCUGAAACUCAAAGGAAUUGACGGGGGCCCGCACAAGCGGUGGAGCAUGUGGUUUAAUUCGAAGCUACGCGAAGAACCUUACCAGGUCUUGACAUACUAUGCAAAUCUAAGAGAUUAGACGUUCCCUUCGGGGACAUGGAUACAGGUGGUGCAUGGUUGUCGUCAGCUCGUGUCGUGAGAUGUUGGGUUAAGUCCCGCAACGAGCGCAACCCUUAUUAUCAGUUGCCAGCAUUAAGUUGGGCACUCUGGUGAGACUGCCGGUGACAAACCGGAGGAAGGUGGGGAUGACGUCAAAUCAUCAUGCCCCUUAUGACCUGGGCUACACACGUGCUACAAUGGAUGGUACAACGAGUUGCGAACUCGCGAGAGUAAGCUAAUCUCUUAAAGCCAUUCUCAGUUCGGAUUGUAGGCUGCAACUCGCCUACAUGAAGUCGGAAUCGCUAGUAAUCGCGGAUCAGCAUGCCGCGGUGAAUACGUUCCCGGGCCUUGUACACACCGCCCGUCACACCAUGAGAGUUUGUAACACCCAAAGUCGGUGGGGUAACCUUUUAGGAACCAGCCGCCUAAGGUGGGACAGAUGAUUAGGGUGAAGUCGUAACAAGGUAGCCGUAG